rnacentral:lncRNA from 1 species
GGAACCUGAUCUUUCUACUGGAAGCAGAAGGAGUCUCUCCACAUAUCCACCACAGCUGGGAUUGUGCUGGGUCAUAUCUGAAGCUAGCACACAUCUAAGUCUCAUCCAAGGCCCACACCUGGUAAGAAAAAUCCACAUCGUGACACGGAAGAGAUGGAGGAAGAAGAGAAAACAAAAGGUCAGAGAUGUAGCCCUACAUAGCUGAUUUUAAAAGGAACUUAAAAUUUUACUUUGGCUAAAAUUGACCUCUCCUGUAAUUUAAUCCAAACCUCUAUUGCUUGUGUGUGGCCAAGUUCAGUAGUCUUUGGAGUCUCACUUCUCUAAUUAUCCAAAUGCAUUUGUUGAAGCCCCAUCCCCUGCCUCCUCCAAAUCCCUUAAUAGGUUUGAUUCUGCUCACUGCUCAUUGCUAUUUUCAUGGUGCCGCUGAAUUCCGCUCUCCUUCUCUGUUUCUAGCCUUUUCAACAUUGCUUUCUCCUCUCAUCCCUGGCAUGAAACACAGAUGCUGGUUAUUCAAUCUCUAAAGCACUGUUCUUUUAAGAAUAAACUUUUACUGAAGAAUGGGGGAUAAAAGAUGGAGCGUAAGCUCAGAACAGCACAGGGAGAAAAUGUACAAGUAAAACUAAGUUAUUUAGUUUAGAGCUUCUUGGUCAGACCCUCCUUAGUCCUGCUUGCCAAUUUGUGCUAGAUUAUUUUUUUCCUGGUGACUGUUUCCCGCACCUCUCCUCCCCAUUCAGGGACCCCAAAGCAUGUUCUUCAGUGACCAGGAAAAUAUUUUAUAUUCUUAAUACUUCAUUAUGGAGAAAAAUUUAUUUCAUUUUGUAUAACCACUGUGUGUUAGUUUCCCAUGGCUUCCUUAACAACUUACUACAAACUGGGUGGCUUAAAGCAACAGAAAUUUAUUUUUCUCAGUUUUGGAGGCCAGAAAUCUGAAAUCAAGGUGUCAGGAAGACCAUGCUCUUUUCAGAGGCUCUAGAGAAGAUUCAUUUUUCUGCCUCCCUCCAGCUUCUUGUGGCUCCAGGCGUUCUUUGAUUCUCCUUGGCUUGUGGCUGCAUCACUGAUUUCCGCUUCCGUGUUCAUGUGGCUCUUCUUCCGCGUGUCUUCUCCUUUCUCUUACAAGGACACUUCGUUGCAUUCAGGGCCCACUCAGGUAAUUCAGGAUGAUCUCAUGCCAAGACCCCUAAUCUAAUUACAUCUACAAAGAUCCCUUAUCCAAGUAAGGUCACCUUCACGGGUUCUGGGAAUUAGGAUUUAGGCAUAUCUUUUGGGGAGCCAUCAUUCAAUGCACGACAUAAUCUAAACAGACUCCAGUUUUCUCAGCUUUAACAGAGACAAUCAAUCAAAUAAGUUUUUGAUUUAAUUUAAAAAUAAAAACAGUAUUUCUGUCUCUCAGAAUAAUUCUGCAGCCCAGUUCUUAGAGCAAAUUACAGUUAGAUUUAAAAGAAUGCUUUUCUUCUCAUUUUAAAGAUUUCUCUUUAAAAAUUGUUAAAAUGACCUAACAUUUUAAAAGACGGAAAAGUAAUUGUAAUAUCAAAAACUUAACACAACUACAUAUUUAUACAAAUGCCUUUAUAAUCUUUGUGUAUAUGUGUGUAUAUAUACAUGUGAAUGUAUAAAUACAUACUUGUAAUCAUGAUGUACUUAACAACUGCAGAUUGUGUUUAAUCUUAGCAUAUUAAAUAAGUUUUUUCAAUGUUUUAACGUAUGUUUUAAUUUACCACUUUUUAAUUUUUUAAUCUUAAUGAUUUAAGAAAGUAUUAGUCAUUGUAGAAAAUACAAAUAAACUAAAAGAAAAAUGAAUCACCUGAAAUUCUUUUAAAAAAGAAAGCCAAUCUGGAGACACAUACAUCUGUUUUGUUUUGUUUUGUUUUGUUUUUUGAGACGGAGUCUCGCUCUGUGGCCAGCCGGGAGUGCAGUGGAGCGAUCUCAGCUAACUGCAGGCUCCCUCUCCUGGGUUCAAGUGAUUCUCUUGCUUCAGCCUCUUGAGUAGCUGGUAUUACAGGCAUGCGGCCCCACACCCAGAUAAUUUUUGUAUUUUUAGUAGAGACGGGGUUUCACCAUGUUGGCCAGGAUGGUCUCAAUCUCCUGACCUUGUGAUCCACCUGCCUCGGCCUCCCAAAGUACUGGGAUUACAGGCGUGAGCCACUGCACCCAGCCUCUGUAUUUUUUAAUUUAAUUAUAUCUUCAUGUUUGUAUGAAUCUAUAUCUGUAGCUGUAUCUACAUUUAUUUAGUUUUGGCUAUAACCCCAUUUCAGGAACUAGUUGACUAAAAAAUAAACUUCUAUUGUUUUUGAAUUAUUACAUAUUUUGUGGUCUUUUAAAAAGUACUGCAACCUCCUCUAUGAAUGAAUACACUUGUUUUUAUAAGUUUUGAAACAUAUUGUUGAAUGACAUUUCUCAAAGCCUAAGCACAGAUGAUAAUCCCUACUGCUUCUUAACCAAGAUUAUAAUGACAAUCUUAGAAUCAAAUGUUAUCAAUUUUAAUAUUUAUUAGAGAAUGUCUGACAACACUUUCUAGAGAUUCUCUUAUUUUAUCAUGUUGCCAAUUUUCCUAAAAAGUGUUAAGUGAGAUUGUUAAGGCUACAAUGGAUGCAAAUAAUGUUAAUACUAUAAUGAAUGCAAAAUUAUUAAUUUAACCAUUCUUCCAUCAUUAAACCUUGUAUAUAUUUCUAAUUUUUUAUUGUUAUGUUUAUACAUAUUGAUUUCUCUGCAGCUAAAUUAUUCAGUUACAUAAAUUUCCCAGAAAUGUGGGUAUUCAGGGAAAUUGUGGAAAUAAAUCUAGUCUUCAUACAGAUUGCAGUUUGCCUUUUAUAAGGGUUAUAUGAAGACAGUUUCAUCAGAGUAUAAGAGUAAACCGGUUUUACCUCAAGUUCAUUAUCAUUGUUGUAUUUUGAUAUUAACAUCAGUAUUUUUAAUAUAAAAGUAAUAGAAUUCCACCAUAAGAUUAGUUUAAUUGCAUUGCUUCUGUCUCAGAAUUGAAGUUUAUAUAAGUUCCUAAAUAGCUUUAAACUCAUUUAAUGUAAUUUAUUUUUGUCUACUUAUUUUUGGG